rnacentral:rRNA from 1 species
GACGAACGCUGGCGGCGUGCUUAACACAUGCAAGUCGAACGGAAAGGCCCUGCUUUUGUGGGGUGCUCGAGUGGCGAACGGGUGAGUAACACGUGAGUAACCUGCCCUUGACUUUCGGAUAACUUCAGGAAACUGGGGCUAAUACCGGAUAGGAGCUCCUGCUGCAUGGUGGGGGUUGGAAAGUUUCGGCGGUUGGGGAUGGACUCGCGGCUUAUCAGCUUGUUGGUGGGGUAGUGGCUUACCAAGGCUUUGACGGGUAGCCGGCCUGAGAGGGUGACCGGCCACAUUGGGACUGAGAUACGGCCCAGACUCCUACGGGAGGCAGCAGUGGGGAAUAUUGCACAAUGGGCGGAAGCCUGAUGCAGCAACGCCGCGUGCGGGAUGACGGCCUUCGGGUUGUAAACCGCUUUCGCCUGCGACGAAGCGUGAGUGACGGUAAUGGGUAAAGAAGCACCGGCUAACUACGUG